rnacentral:rRNA from 1 species
GUGGGGAAUUUUGGACAAUGGGGGCAACCCUGAUCCAGCGACGCCGCGUGGAGGAUGAAGGUCUUCGGAUUGUAAACUCCUUUUGGAGGGGAUGAAUGGCUUGGUGAAGAGCCAAGAGUGACAGUACUCUCUGAAUAAGCCACGGCUAACUACGUGCCAGCAGCCGCGGUAAUACGUAGGUGGCAAGCGUUACUCGGAAUCACUAGGCGUAAAGCGCAGGUAGGCGGUUUGGUAAGUCUGUUGUGAAAGCUCCCGGCUUAACUGGGAGAGGUCAACGGAAACUGCCAGGCUAGAGUGUGGUAGAGGUAGCUGGAAUUCCCGGUGUAGCGGUGAAAUGCGUAGAUAUCGGGAGGAAUACCUAUGGCGAAAGCAGGCUACUGGACCAUCACUGACGCUGAUCUGCGAAAGCUAGGGGAGCAAACAGGAUUAGAUACCCUAGUAGUCC